rnacentral:rRNA from 1 species
GAUGAACGCUGGCGGCGUGCUUAACACAUGCAAGUCGAACGAAGCACCUUGAUUCGAUUCUUCGGAUGAAGAUCGUGGUGACUGAGUGGCGGACGGGUGAGGAACGCUUGGGUAACGUGCCUCAUACAGGGGGAUAACAGUUAGAAAUGACUGCUACUACCGCAUAAGACCACAGCACGGCAUUGUGCAGGGGUAAAAACUCCGGUGGUAUGAGAUGGACCCGCGUCUGACUAGGUAGUUGGUGGGGUAACGGCCUACCAGGCCGACGAUCAGUAGCCGACCUGAGAGGGUGACCGGCCACAUUUGGGCUGAGCCACGGCCCGGACUCCUACGCGAGGCAGCAGUGGGGAAUCUUGCACAAUGGGGGAAACCCUGAUGCAGCGCCGCCGCGUGAGCGAUGAAGUAUUUAGGUAUGUAAAGCUCUAUCAGCAGGGAAGAAAAUGACGGUACCUAACUAAGAAGCACCGGCUAACUACGUG